AUUGAACGCUGGCGGAAUGCUUUACACAUGCAAGUCGAGCGGCAGCGCGGGGCAACCUGGCGGCGAGCGGCGAACGGGUGAGUAAUGUAUCGGAACGUAUCCUUAAGUGGGGGACAACUAGUCGAAAGACUAGCUAAUACCGCAUACGAUCGAGAGAUGAAAGUGGGGGACCGCAAGGCCUCACGCUUUUGGAGCGGCCGAUAUCCGAUUAGCUUGUUGGUGAGGUAAAGGCUUACCAAGGCUAUGAUCGGUAGCUGGUCUGAGAGGAUGAUCAGCCACACUGGAACUGAGACACGGUCCAGACUCCUACGGGAGGCAGCAGUAGGGAAUAUUGGACAAUGGGCGCAAGCCUGAUCCAGCCAUGCCGCGUGAGUGAAGAAGGCCCUCGGGUUGUAAAGCUCUUUUGUCCGGAAAGAAAAGCACUGGGUUAAUACCCCGGUGUCCUGACGGUACCGGAAGAAUAAGCACCGGCUAACUUCGUGCCAGCAGCCG
rnacentral:rRNA from 1 species